UCUGGGUUAAGAAGCUGCCUAUCUUUAGUUAUAUUGAAACUAUCUUUAGAGAAGAAAACUCACACUGGUGGAAGAAGUCUCCGUUUUUUGUUUUUUUUUGAGACAGAGUCUCCCUCUGUCGCCCAGGCUGCAGUGCAAUGGCGCCAUCUCGGCUCGCUGCAAGCUCCGCCUCCUGGGUUCACGCCAUUCUUCCUCCUCAGCCUCUAGAGUAGCUGGGAUUACAGGCGCCCGCCACCACCCCCGGCUACUUUUUUUGUAUUUUUAGUAGAGACGGGGUUUCACCGUGUUAGCCAGGAUGGUCUCGAUCUCCUGACCUAGUGAUCCGCCCGCCUCGACCUCCCACAGUGCUGGGAUGCCCGCCUCGACCUCCCAAAGUGCUGGGAUUACAGGCGUGAGCCACUGCGCCUGGCCGAAGUCUCCAUUUUAUGGACGUUUCUUUCACUUUUCAUCUGGGAGGAGGAAGGGCUAAAUCAGGAGAGGCUUUUACCAUAGAGAAGUACAGAUGAAGGUAGGCUACACAUGAUAGGCCUAUAGAAGAAGGUAGGCCAUCUACAAGCCAAGGAGAAAGGACUUACAUGAAACCAGCCCUGCCAACGCCCUCUAUCUUUACAUGGUCUUCACUCUGUAAUGAAUAAUAAUUUGGGGUAACAUUGUCAUGGCUCCUGGCACCUCUGGGAUCUAGCUGAAGAAGUGAGUGGCUUCCAUGAAUAUUCCUAUCUCUCUCUGUUCCAACACACCAGAUGUCGUGACAAGAAACACCAAACCAGCAAUCUUAUUUUUAAAUUUUAAUAAAUAAGUGUAUCUAUUUAUGGGGUACAAUGUGAUAUGUUGAUACAUGUUUACAUUAUGGAAUAAUAAAAUCAGGCUAAGAUUUUCAUCACUUCAUAUACUUAUCAUUUCUUUGUGGUGAGAACAUUUAAAAUCUAUUCCUUCGGUAAUUCUGAAAUAUAUAAUACAUUAUAAUUAGCUGUAGCCAAUACAUUGUGCAAUAGAUCACCAGUACUUAUUCUUUGUGUGUAACUGAAGCUUUGUACCCUUUGACCAACAUCUCUCCUUUUCCUGUCCACCACCACACCCAGCUUCUGGUAACCACUAGUCUACUCUCUGCUUCUACAAAUUUGACUUGUUUUAGAUUCUACAUAUAAGUGAGAUCAUGCUCCAUUUGCCUUUCUGUGUCUAGAUUAUUUCACUUAGCCUAACGUCCUCUAGAUUUCUUCAUAUUCUCCCAGGU
rnacentral:lncRNA from 1 species